rnacentral:sRNA from 1 species
CGACCGCUGCCGGGUUUCCCGGCGGCCAAGGCCAGACGGACAGCCGGGUCGAAUGCCGA